rnacentral:tRNA from 2 species
GCGGGUAUAGCACAAAGGUAGUGCAGCAGCCUUCCAAGCUGAGGAUCCGGGUUCGAUUCCCGGUACCCGCUCCA